GAUGAACGCUGGCGGCGUGCUUAAUACAUGCAAGUCGAGCGAACAGACGAGGAGUUUGCUCCUCUGUCGUUUGCGGCGGACGGGUGUGUAACACGUGGAUAAUCUACCUAUCAGACGGGGAUAACUUCGGGACACCGGAUCUAAUAGCGGAUAAUCUAUUGUACCGGAUGGUUCAAUAGUGAAAUUCGGUUUUGCUGUCACUUAUAGACGGAUCCGCGGCGGAUUAGCUAGUUGGUAUGGUAACGGCUUACCAAGGCAACGAUGGGUAGCCGACCUGAGAGGGUGAUCGGCCACACUGGAAGUGAGACACGGUACAGACUCCUACGGGAGGCAGCAGUAGGGAAUCGUGGGCAAUGGGCGGAAGCCUGACGGAGCAACGGCGCGUGAGUGAUGAAGGUCUUCGGAUCGUAAAACUCUGUUAUUAGGGAAGAACAAAUGUGUAAGUAACGAUGCACGUCUUGACGGUACCUAAUCAGAAAGCCACGGCUAACUACGUG
rnacentral:rRNA from 1 species